rnacentral:rRNA from 3 species
GGGGAAUUUUCCGCAAUGGGCGAGAGCCUGACGGAGCAAUACCGCGUGAGGGAGGAAGGCUUUUGGGUUGUAAACCUCUUUUCUUAGGGAAGAAGGUCUGACGGUACCUAAGGAAUCAGCAUCGGCUAACUCCGUGCCAGCAGCCGCGGUAAUACGGAGGAUGCAAGCGUUAUCCGGAAUGAUUGGGCGUAAAGCGUCCGUAGGUGGCUUAGUAAGUCUGUUGUUAAAGCGUCCAGCUUAACUGGAUAAGGGCGAUGGAAACUGUUGAGCUAGAGUGCGAUAGGGGUUAGAGGAAUUCCCAGUGUAGCGGUGAAAUGCGUAGAGAUUGGGAAGAACACCAGCGGCGAAAGCGUCUAACUGGGUCUGCACUGACACUGAGGGACGAAAGCUAGGGGAGCGAAAGGGAUUAGAUACCCCUGUAGUCCUAGCCGUAAACGAUGACAACUAGGUGUGGUUCGUAUCGACCCGAGCCGUGCCGUAGCCAACGCGUUAAGUUGUCCGCCUGGGGAGUACGCACGCAAGUGUGAAACUCAAAGGAAUUGACGGGGGCCCGCACAAGCGGUGGAGUAUGUGGUUUAAUUCGAUGCAACGCGAAGAACCUUACCAGGACUUGACAUGUGCAGGAUUCGAGUGAAAGCUUGAAGUGCCUUCGGGAGCUGCAACACAGGUGGUGCAUGGCUGUCGUCAGCUCGUGUCGUGAGAUGUUGGGUUAAGUCCCGCAACGAGCGCAACCCACGUUUUUAGUUGCCAUCAUUGAGUUGGGCACUCUAGAGAGACUGCCGGUGACAAACCGGAGGAAGGUGUGGAUGACGUCAAGUCAGCAUGCCCCAUACGUUCUGGGCUACACACGUACUACAAUGCAACGGACAAAGGGCAGCUAGCCAGCGAUGGUAUGCAAAUCUCAUAAACCGUUGCUCAGUUCAGAUUGCAGGCUGCAACUCGCCUCAUGAAGGCGGAAUCGCUAGUAAUCGCAGGUCAGCAUACUGCGGUGAAUACGUUCCCGGGCCUUGUACACACCGCCCGUCACACCAUGGAAGUUGGUCACGCCCGAAGUCGUUAUUCCAACCGUUCGCGGAGGGAGAUGCCGAAGGUGGGGCUGAUGACUGGGGUGAAGUCGUAACAAGGUAGCCGUACCGGAAGGUGUGGCUGGAUCACCUCCU